AUACCUUUCUCGGCCUUUUGGCUAAGAUCAAGUGUAGUAUCUGUUCUUAUCAGUUUAAUAUCUGAUACGUGGACCAAUGGUCCACAAUGAUAUUAAAUUUAUUUUUUAAGGGGAAGUCCCACCACAGUAGCUUGCUGCUGGGGUCUUCAAGCGUUGCCCAUGCGUUGCACCAUUGCACGGGCCUGGCGCACCCCAC
rnacentral:snRNA from 1 species